rnacentral:rRNA from 1 species
UACGUAGGGGGCAAGCGUUGUCCGGAAUCAUUGGGCGUAAAGAGCGUGUAGGCGGCCCGAUAAGUCCGCCGUGAAAGUCCAGGGCUCAACCCUGGAAUGCCGGUGGAAACUGUGGGGCUGGAGUCCGGAAGAGGCGAGUGGAAUUCCUGGUGUAGCGGUGAAAUGCGCAGAUAUCAGGAGGAACACCAAUGGCGAAGGCAGCUCGCUGGGACGGUACUGACGCUGGAGACGCGAAAGCGUGGGGAGCGAACAGG